rnacentral:rRNA from 1 species
AGUCUUUCUGCCCAUUGAAAUUAAAAGGCUGCGGUAUUUUAACUGUACAAAGGUAGCAAAGUCAAUAGUUUUUUAAUUGAAAGCUUGAAUGAAUGAGUUGAUAAGAUAUUAAUUGUCUCAGUAAUUGAAUUUAAAUUAAAAGUUAAAAUGCUUUUAUUAAUUUAUUAGACGAUAAGACCCUAAGAAUUUAAUUAUAAAUUUUGAUUGAAAAUUAUAAAAAUGAUUUAAUAAUUUUAUUGGGAGGAUAAUUAAAUUGAACUUUAAUUUAAAUAAAUAUUAAUAAAUAAAUUUAAUGAUUAAUAUAAAGAUUAAAAGAAUAAAUUACCUUAGGGAUAACAGCGUAAUAAUUUUGGAGAGUUCAUAUUGAUAAAAUUGUUUACGACCUCGAUGUUGAAUUAAAAUAAAAAUUAAAUGGAGAAAUUUAAAUUUUUAGUCUGUUCGACUAUUAAAAUUUUAC